rnacentral:rRNA from 1 species
GAGUAGAACGCUGAAGGAGGAGCUUGCUCUUCUGGAUGAGUUGCGAACGGGUGAGUAACGCGUAGGUAACCUGCCUGGUAGCGGGGGAUAACUAUUGGAAACGAUAGCUAAUACCGCAUAAGAGUAGAUGUUGCAUGACAUUUGCUUAAAAGGUGCAACUGCAUCACUACCAGAUGGACCUGCGUUGUAUUAGCUAGUUGGUGGGGUAACGGCUCACCAAGGCGACGAUACAUAGCCGACCGUCUGAGAGGGUGAUCGGCCACACUGGGACUGAGACACGGCCCAGACUCCUACGGGAGGCAGCAGUAGGGAAUCUUCGGCAAUGGACGGAAGUCUGACCGAGCAACGCCGCGUGAGUGAAGAAGGUUUUCGGAUCGUAAAGCUCUGUUGUAAGAGAAGAACGAGUGUGAGAGUGGAAAGUUCACACUGUGACGGUAUCUUACCAGAAAGGGACGGCUAACUACGUGCCAGCAGCCGCGGUAAUACGUAGGUCCCGAGCGUUGUCCGGAUUUAUUGGGCGUGAAGCGAGCGCAGGCGGUUAGAUAAGUCUGAAGUUAAAGGCUGUGGCUUAACCAU